rnacentral:rRNA from 1 species
CCUACGGGAGGCAGCAGUGGGGAAUAUUUGACAAUGGGGGGAACCCUGAUCCAGCGACGCCGCGUGAGUGAAGACGUAUUUCGGUAUGUAAAGCUCUAUCAGCAGGGAAGAAAGAAAUGACGGUACCUGACUAAGAAGCCCCGGCUAACUACGUGCCAGCCGCCGCCGUAAUACGUAGGGGGCAAGCGUUAUCCGGAUUUACUGGGUGUAAAGGGAGCCUAGACGGUUACGCAAGUCUGGAGUGAAAGGCGGGGGCCCAACCCCCGGACUGCUUUGGAAACUGGAUAACUGGAGUGCAGGAGAGGUAAGUGGAAUUCCUAGUGUAGCAGUGAAAUGCGUAGAUAUUAGGAGGAACACCAGUGGCGAAGGCAGCUUACUGGACUGUAACUGACGUUGAGGCACGAAAGCGUGGGGAGCAAACAGGAUUAGAUACCCCAGUAGUC